AGAACCACUUGGCUCUGUACCAGCUGCCAUCUGGAGAGAAAACCAAGGAGUUAACCUCCCGCCACCUUCAUUACUUCACCAAACGCCAGCCUCCCAUGUCCCACCUCAUCUCUCUGUUCGUACCAGACUCCUCCUCCAAUAACAUCCAGAUGCUGUCACAUGGCUCGGCUGACCUCAUCCUGGAAGCCUGCACUGACUUCUGGGAUGGAACUGAUAUCUACCCCCUGUCGGGCUCAGACAGGUGCCGUCACACUGAUCGCUCUUCUGUGGCUGUAAAUCUUGAGUCAGACACAAGUAUCAAAGUUUCAUAAGCACAGCACAG